CUAACCACGCCAUGUUUCGGGUCUCUCUCGCCUUCUGAGAUGGGCCACACUCUGUCUGUGGAGUGUGUUUCUCUCUGAAUAAAUCCACUUCUUACCUAUCACUUUGUCUCCCACUGAAUUCUUUGUACGAAGCAAGACAUCAAGAACCUCAAAUUCACUGGGAACACAAAAGCGCCUCAGGUGCAGGACAAAGACCUGCUGGGACUGAGGACUGAGGAAGGGGCUGUCCCGGGGCCUGGGGCCAGCACCCCACAGAGCAGGAUGCCGCGUUCCAGAACCAGCUGCAGCGCUCCAGGGGACCCUCCCAGAACCUGAGCUGAGUGAUGCUCCUGGUGAACCUGACAGGUUGGCAAUAUUCUUUUCAGUCCGAUCCUCUUCCAUGAUGCUGGGAGUGGCAGCCGCAGCUCCCUGUCAGCCUUGUGAUCACAAGGGUCAACAACCAUUCUGCACCCAGACAGCCAUUCUGCUUUGCACCGUCAGUACAGUAUUCAGUACAUUAUAUGAGGUUUCUCUCCAACACUGUUUGAUACCAGCCCCACGCCAGCCAUUGUUUUCCCAGAUGAGGGCGGACACCAGCCUGAGGCUAAACCUCUGAACUGAAUCAAGUCCCCCCACCGAAGUCAAGACGAAAGCUGCCAAAGAUACACCAAGACAGGCACCGGGCAAACCCCGCGGACUCACAGGAAACCUGGCUGCGCCUGCCGGGCUUGCCCGUCUCGCCCGCAGAAAUCCCGGUGCUCAGAGCUGGAAGGACAUCAGCCGGCAUCUUGAUGAACAUCCUCCUUUCGCCCUUGAGGCCAGGUUCUGGAGCUGCCAGCGACUCACCGAGGCUGCCCGGGGCCCAGUAGGCCUUUUAGAGAAAGAAAGAAAACCAGUGCUCAGCACAAACCAGCCUCAAGCAGCUUUGGAUGUGAGGAGCCUGGCGAGCAGCGAGGACAGGUGAUGAGAAAUGCUUGGGAGGAUGGCCAAGAAGGAUUUGUAACGUCCGGAGUCAGACAGGUCUGCAGCCCUGCUGGCCUGGCCGCUCUCCACGGAGGAAGCCCCUGGCUGUGCGGGCAGCAAACUGCAGGCUGGCCAGGCCCUCUCUUGCCACCUCCAUGCCC